CAAAAAAAAAAAAAAAAAAAAAAAAAUAAUCUGUCUCUGAUAAAGCUUAUCUCAGGUUAUGAGAAUUAAAAACAAGUUCCAAUCUCUCUGUCUCUCUCAUUAAUACGAACCAAUCUAAGCAGAGUACUAAACACUACCAUGGUCACUAAUCAUCUCAUGGCUGCUUCUUAACAUGUUCAAAAUUUUUCCCAAGCUCCAGAAACCAGCUUAAACCCAUCUGGACAGGUCAGAUCUACUUCAGGCUUUUUCUGUCUCACCAGCAUCCUGUCAGACACAAAAGCAGCCAGAGUGCCAAGCCAAGAGGGAUGGACGGCUCCAGGGCAGCAGAACAGCCCAUCAUCCCAGGAUGCCUGUCCACCUCAGAAGGUCCCCCUUCCCUAGCCCAUCCCCCCAAGAACCAACCGACGCCUACCAAGUCAGUUGUAAGCAGUCUUUCCGGGAGAAACGAUGCCCCUAUUCCUAUUCACUUGCUUUUUUAUAAUAAGCAAAAAGUCUGGAAUGUUAGAAUUCUGCCCUCACUCCUGCACAUGGGUAGCUCAGGGUCUUGCAUCUUACAUCAUCAGUGGGCUGUGACGAUUAUGUACCUGCCUUAAAAAGCCAGAUGCAGACCCCUACCCUCUCUGUUCCCUCUCUGCUCGCUGUUCCCUGCUCUGCUCCCUCCUCCCAGGCCUGGCUCUCCUCUCUUUCUCCCCCCUCGUCCCCUAAUAAAGCUCUGAAAACUAGCACUGGGUUCUGUCAUGACCGUGACCUUUCCAUGCGGUAACAAGACCACCACCAGCACUGUUCAUCCUAUAAGGAGCAGCAAAAAUUAACCAGUAGGGGCUGGACAAAUGGCUCAGUGGUUAAGUGCACUUAUUAUUCACUCAGAGGUGCCAGGGUUGGUCCAUAAUACCAACAUCAGUUCACUCAACCACCUGCCACUCUGGUUCCAGGGAAUUUGAUGCCCUCUUCUGGCCUCCAUGGGCACUGCAUGCAUGUGGCACACGCACAUACAUAUAAAUUAAAAGUAAGUAAUUAUUUAUGACAGCCUUCACUAUGUAGCUUAGGCUGGCUCUGAACUUGAUUGUCCUAUCUUAGCAUCCUGAACACUGAAAUUAAAGCUAUGUGUCACCACACCCUGCCCUGUGGUGUUUGUGGCUAUCAGCUAGGCUUCAGAAGCAAAGGAUCAGACUGAGUACCUUCAACAACAGAAAUCACUGUCUCAUGACUCUGGAGGACAGAAGUGUUAGAGGAUUUCCUGCAGUGUUCUGCAGCUGGUUUGAUUCUGGAGUGUUAGCACUUAACUUUAAUCUGCUUUUUGUGAUUUGCUACCUUUUGUCUCCCAUACCUUCUGUUUGAAGUGUGUAAAUCUUAUCUGAGAGUUUCCUAAAGGUUCAAAGCCUAUGCAAACUUGGUUGUGGGAGGAAUAGGAAAGCCAGCUGUCUCUGAACUGAAAAAUUGCAUUGGCAUUGUCUCUUCGGGGAGCUUAGAUAAGAGGUUUUGGUAUCUGGAAUUGACUUGCUAGAGCUGUGAAUUGCAUAAAAAUAAAAAGGCCCUUUGCAAAUCGAUAGUGGGUAGCUGCCAUGGGCUACAGGCUGAUCCCCCUGCAGUUGGGAAGCCUAAAAAAUCAUCCUUACAACAAGACAAGGAUGUCCACUCUCCCCAUAUUUAUUCAAUAUAGUACUAGAAGUUCUAGUUAGAGCAACAAGACAACAAAAGGAGAUCAAAGGGAUUCAAAUUGGAAAGGAAGAAGUCAAACUUUCACUAUUUGCAGAUGAUAUGGUAGUAUACAUAAGUGACCCCAAAAACCCUACCAGGGAACUCCUACAGCUGAUAAACUCCUUCAGUAAAGUGGCAGGAUACAAGAUCAACUCAAAAAAAAUCAAUAGCCCUCCUAUACACAAAUGAUAAAAGGGCUGAGAAAGAAGUCAGAGAUACAUCACCCUGUACAAUAGCCACAAAUAAUAUAAAAUACCUUGGGACAACACUAACUAAAAAAGUGAAGGACCUUUUUGAUAAAAACUUUAAAUCUGUAAAGAAAGAAAUUGAAGACGAUAUCAGAAAAUGGAAGGAUCUCCCAUGCUCAUGGAUAGGUAGGAUUAACAUAGUAAAAAUGGCAAUCUUACCAAAAGCAAUCUACAGAUUCAAUGCAAUCCCCAUCAAAAUCCCAACACAAUUCUUCACAGACUUGGAAAGAAAAAUACUCAACUUCAUAUGGAAAAACAAAAGACUCAGGAUAGCUAAAAGAAUCCUAUACGAUAAAGCAACCCUUGGAGGCAUCACCAUCCCUGACCUCAAACUCUACUAUAGAGCUAUAGUAAUAAAAACAGCUUGGUACUGGUAUAAAAACCAACAUACAGACCAAUGGAAUCGAAUUGAAGACCCUGACAUUAAUCCAUGCACAUAUGAACACCUGGUUUUCGACAAAGAAGCCAAAACUAUACAAUGGAAAAAAGAAAGUAUCUUCAACAAAUAGUGCUGGCAUAACUGGAUGUCAAUAUGUAAAAGAUUACAAAUAGAUCCAUAUCUGUCACCAUGCACAAAACUCAAGUCCAAGUGGAUCAAGGACCUCAACAUAAAUCCAAUUACACUAAACUUAAUAGAAAAGAAAGUAGGAAGUACUCUUGAACGCAUUGGCACCGGAGACCAUUUCCUAAAUAUAACACCAACAGCACAGACCCUGAGCACAAUUAAUAAAUGGGACCUCUUGAAAUUAAGAAGCUUUUGCAGGGUGGAAGACACGGUCAAUAAGACAGUCAACAGAAUGGGAAAAGACCUUCACCAACCCCACAUCUGACAGAGGAUUGAUCUCCACAGUAUAUAAAGAACUCAAGAAACUAGACAUCAAAAUACUAAACAAUCCAAUUAAAAAAUGGGCUAAAGAGCUAAACAGAGAAUUCACAAAACAAGAAUCACAAAUGGCUGAAAGACAUUUAAAGAAAUGCUCAACAUCCUUAAUCAUCAGAGAAAUGCAAAUCAAAAAGACUCUGAGAUACCACCUUACACCUGUCAGAAUGGCUACGAUCAAAAACACCAAUGACAGUCAGUGUUGGAGAGGAUGUGGAGCAAAGGGAACACUCCUCCACUGUUGGUGGGAAUGCAAGCUUGUACAACCACUGUGGAAAUCAAUAUGGCGGUUGCUCAGAAAAUUAGGAAUCGAUCUACCUCAAGACCCAGCCAUACCACUCUUGGGCAUAUACCCAAGGAAUGCUGAUUCAUACCAUAAAGAUACAUGCUCAACUAUGUUCAUAGCAGCACUAUUUGUAAUAGCCAGAACCUGGAAACAACCUAGAUGCCCGUCAACUAAAGAAUGGAUGAAGAAAAUGUGGUACAUAUACACAAUGAAGUACUACUCAGCAAAGAAAAAUAAUGAAAGCAUGAAAUUUGCAGGCAAAUGGAUGGAACUAGAAAAAAUCAUCCUGAGUGAGGUAACUCAAACCCAGAAAGACAAACAUGGUAUGUACUUACUCAUAAGUGGAUUCUAGAUAUAAAAUAAAGAACAAUCAGACUACAAAAAAAAAUCAUCCUUACAGUGCCUGGUGUCUUCUUUCCACAGACCUGAGUAAACCCCUACCUGAUACAACAGGAGGCUCAGAAUAAAAGUGACUAAAGCCCUUCCCACAUUCCUCACACUUAACAGAAUUGGGACACACUAUAUUGUGCCGACUGGGACAACUGGUGACAUUUAAAUGGGCUGUUUAGGUUGUAUAGUGUUGUGCAGCGACAUCGGACUUGAUUGAAUAUUACACUACCAGCUGCUUAAGGAAAACACAUUUAGUUUCUGAUGUAAGAGAUGAGACAUUUGAAAAGGUGUAUGUGCAGGUGUCAGCAUUUGAGUGGGCACAAAUUCACAUAUUUAGAGAGAACAGUGACUCGAUAAUUUAACAACUGGUGAGUCUAGGUUAAGGGUAUAAAACUAUAUAAUUUUUAUAGUUUUUCUAAAAGUUAAUGUACAUAUUUGAUUAAAAUCUCACUAGAUAACUAAGCCUAUACAUCUGUAUCUUUAAAAAUUAUUUAUCUAUAGAUCAAGCAUGCACAUGUGCGUGCAUGCGUGUCUGUGUGUGCACGUGUGCCUAAGUCCAGAAGCAUUGGAACCUCUAGAGCUGGAGUUACAAUUGGUUGUGAGCCACCAGAUGUGGGUACACGUAACAAAACUCUGGUUCUCUGAAAGAGGAGCACAUACUCUAAGUGCUGGGCUGUCUCUCCAGCCCCACAUCUGUAUUGUGUGUGUGUGUGUGUGUGUGUGUGUGUGUGUGUGUGUGUGUGUGUGGUAUAUAAUGUGUUUUGCAUACAUGAGCAGGUAUGUAUGCCCAUGUGCAUGUGUUUGGAGGCCGGAGGAUGAUUUAGGUAUCUUGCUCUGUCAUACUCCCUGUUGCCUAGAGACAUGGUCUCUCCUAGGCUGUCAGCAAGUCCCAACAAUCUUCCUUCCUCCACUUCCCACAGCACUGGGAUCACAGACCUCCACAGGGCCAUACCCAGCUUUUUACAUGGAUACUGGGGAUUCAACUCAGAUUCCCAUGUUUGUCCAGCAAGCUCUGUUACCCACUCAGCCAUCUUCUCCAGCCCCAUUUAUUUCUCUAAAAACAUACAGCUAACUUUCACAUUUUAUGGUUUUCCAGGUUAAUAUAUUCUGAGCAACUUUCAGCGGUUGUAGCUAAUUCUACCUCUUCUCACUUGAUGCUUGCAGAGGACCACUGGACUGCAAAGUAGAAAGUUCCUUGGCCAGGCAACCAAUUAUAAAACGAUGAUGCAAUGUGAACAACUUCUUCAAUACAGUUAUAGCUGACACCAAUCUACCUUUGAUGACCAGAGAUGCAUUGUGGGUACAGCCUCUUUCAUUGCAGCCCUCCAUACUGCAUGAAAAAAGCCACAGGAUAAGCCCUUGGCUACAGGAAAUUUUUAGUCAGCAAUUUUAUUUCCCACACCUUUACGCUUAAGUAAAAAUAAUGCCCACUGUUAAGUAUAGAGAGCUAAGUCAGCAUUUGGCAAGUAACGGGUCACCCGGUACCUUUCGGCACACAGUCCACUGAAAGAUGAUUGCUGACAUUCAUAGUCUUGCCAAGAGGGCCACUGCCUGUAUUUCUUCCUUACAAUGAGUUCUAGGUGUUACUCUGGCAUGUUAUGGUUUUAAAGGUGUUGCUGCAGGAUGUCUUCCUGUACGCUGUGAAUGUGUGUUGCUAUGACUGGUUAAUAAAGAAGCUGCUCUGGCCUAUGGCGUGCCAGGUUAUAGCCAGGCAGGAAAUCCGAGAGAGAGAGAGAGAGAGAGAGAGAGA